rnacentral:rRNA from 1 species
AGUUCGAUCAUGGCUCAGAUUGAACGCUGGCGGAUGCUUUACACAUGCAAGUCGAACGGCAGCACGGACUUCGGUCUGGUGGCGAGUGGCGAACGGGUGAGUAAUGUAUCGGAACGUGCCUAGUAGCGGGGAUAACUACGCGGCGUAGCUAAUACCACCUUACGCCCUUCGGGGAAAGCGGGGGACCUUCGGGCCUCGCGCACUAUUAGAAGCGGCCGAUAUCCAGUUAAGCUGGCAGUUGGUGGGGGUAACGGCUCACCAAGGCGACGAUCCGUAGCUGGUUUGAGAGGAGACGACCAGCCACUGGGACUGAGACACGGCCCAGACUCCUACGGAGGCAGCAGUGAAAUUUUGGACAAUGGGGAAACCCCUGAUUGUAUCCGCGUGUGCGAUGAAGGCCCUUCGGGUUGUAAACACUUUUGGCAGAAGAAAUAACAUGAGGAUAAUACCCCGUGCAACUGACAGUACCUGCAGAAUAGGCACCGGCCAUACGUGCCGCUAGCCGCGUGUGUAGGGUGCAAGCGUUAAUCGGAAUUACUGGGCGUAAAGCGUGCGCAGGCGGUUCGGAAAAGAAGAUGUGAAAUCCCAGAGCUUAACUUUGGAACUGCGUUUUAACUACCGAGCUAGAGUGUGUCAGGAAGGGAGGUGGAAUUCCGCGUGUAGCAGUGAAAUGCGUAGAUAUGCGGAGGAACACCGAUGGCGAAGGCAGCAGCCUCCUGGGAUAACACUGACGCUCAUGCACGAAAGCGUGGGAGCAAGCAGGAUUAGGAAUGCCCUAAGUCACACCUAAAACGAUGUCAACCUAGCUGUUGGGGCCUUCAGACCUUUAGUGCAUGCUAACUAACGUCGAAAGUUGACCGCCUGGGAAAUACGGUCGCAAGAUUAAAACUCAAAGGAAUUGACGGGGACCCACUGGCAGUGGAUGAUGUAUGGAUUAAUUCGAUGCAACGCGAAAAACCUUACCUACCUUGACAUGUCUGGAAUCCCGAAGAGAUUUGGGAGUGCUCGCAAGAGAACCGGAACACAGGUGCUGCAUGGCUGUCGUCAGCUCUGUCGUGAGAUGUUGGGUUAAGUCCCGCAACGGGCACAACCCUUGUCAUUAGUUGCUACGAAGGGCACUCUAAUGAGACUGCCGGUGACAAACCGGAGGAAGGUGGGGAUGACGUCAAGUCCUCAUGGCCCUGGGUAGGGCUUCACACGUCAUACAAUGGUCGGGACAGAGACCAACCCGCGAGGAGCCAAUCCCAGAAACCCGAUCGUAGUCCGAAUCGCGAUCUGCAACUCGACUGCGUGAAGUCGGAAUCGCUAGUAAUCGCGGAUCAGCAUGUCGCGGUGAAUACGUUCCCGGGUCUUGCAAUCACACCAUGGGAGUGGGUUUUACCAGAAGUAGUUAGCCUAACCAUGGGAGGGCGAUUACCACGGUAGGAUUCAUGACUGGGGUGAAGUCGUAACAAAGGUAA